rnacentral:rRNA from 1 species
GACGAACGCUGGCGGCGUGCCUAAUACAUGCAAGUCGAACGCAGUUGGGACGGGUGAGUAACACGUGGGUAACCUCCCAUCAGAGGGGAUAACACUUGGAAACAGGUGCUAAUCCUCUAUUGAUUGAUGUCCCCGCGGUGCAUCAGCUAGUUGGUGAGGUAACGGCGCACCAAGGCGACGAUGCAUAGCCGACCUGAGAGGGGGAUCGGCCACACGGGGACUGAGACACGGCCCAGACUCCUACGGGAGGCAGCAGUAGGGAAUCUUCGGCAAUGGACGAAAGUCUGACAGAGCAACGCCGCGGGAGUGAAGAAGGUUUUAGGAUCGUAAAACUCUGUUGUUAGAGAAGCGGUAUCUAACCAGAAAGCCACGGCUAACUACGUGCCAGCAGCCGCAGUAAUUC